ensembl:lncRNA MUC20-OT1 MUC20 overlapping transcript
CUGCUGUGGCUGAGCCUUGGGGUGAAGACAGGCAGCUGCUCCCAACCCCAGAACCUUUGCUGUCUUGGGACGGAUCACCGCUGCAAGAGGGGAAGUUGCUACUGUGAUGAAUUCUGCCAUGUGGCACCAGACUGCCACCCAGACCACAGUGUCCUCUGCAACCCUGCUUCUCAGAUGACCAAGAUGGUGCUGCAGAUGGUGCUGAGGAUGGAGAACCCACCAAGCCCCGCUAGGAGCCACCUAGACUGGAUGCAGAGCAUGAUUUGAAGAUUGUACCAGGAGAGCCGCAGUGUUCCAGAGCUACUGAGGGGGCUGGGCUGGGAUUUGCUGUAUUCGAGAAGACCCCCUUGGACCCGAGAGGCUGUGGGCUUGGGGAGCAUGAGGAGGUUUCACAGCAGAAAGGACACCCCGGGGCUCCUGGAUAAGCCAGAAAAUGUGCCAGGGGAAGUCGGGCUCCAAGGGCACCACUCUGGGCUUCCAGCUGUGUGGGCUGGACCAAGAAGG